UCUUUAUACCUUAUGUGCUAUAUCUGCUGAGGCUAUUAAGGAAAGUAGGGGUUGUUUACUGUCUCUAAAAAAAAACAUGUUUCUUCAUUUCUCCCUUUGGGGAAAUAUAAUAAUCUGCCCUUUUUAAUAUUCCUCAAAAUAUUUCAUUCUUC